GUCUACAGCCAUACUACCUUGAAUGUGCCAUCUCAUCUGAUCUCAAAAGCUAAGCAGGAUCAGGCCUGGUUAGUACUUGAAUGGGAGAAGUGAAAU
rnacentral:rRNA from 1 species